CGCCCGCGGGACCAUUUUCACACUCAAGACGCUCCUCUUGAGGACUACCUGUACCCACAGGACAACGUGAGCAGAAUGUCAAGGCCUGUCCAUAGGGGUCAGAAUAAAACGCGGCAGAAAGGCACCCCCUGUGAAAACAAACCUGGGAAGAGAUGUGAGGAUCCGAGGGAGGAGAAGACAAGAUAUUCUUAGUUUGUUCCAGUGAAUUAUUCAUUGUAGAGCAGACCACAUGCUGUCACAGUGAAACACAAAGGAAAUUUUAAAAUAAUCAAGAGCAAAA
rnacentral:lncRNA from 1 species